CUGUCCUCCACCAUUGUCGUAAGCCCCUCUUCCUCCACCUGAAGUGACUACCGAGAGACUUGAAGGGCCCUAUUUUCUUCCCCUUCAUUUUUCACUUUUCUUCCGCUUGGGAGCUAGAAAUUAAAGGUUCGGAUAUGUAAACACUGGGAAAGGAGGGAGAAUCUUAUUUCCAGAUGUACCACAUUAUUACGUUCAAACUUGCAGUGUUCAAGGACAAAUCACAAGGAAUACAAAGAAACAGAAAACCGUGGCCCAUUCAAAGGAAAAAAAAUAAUUCAAAAUAAUUUUUCCCUAAAAAAGACUCAAUUGAGAAUACAUUAGACAGUGACCUCAAAACAAAUGCCCAGAGAUGCUCAAAGAACUAAGGGAUGAUGUGGACAAAUUUGUGAAAAUGAUGUGUGAACAAAAUGGAAAUACCAAAGAGAUAGAAAGCCUAAAGGACCAUAAUUGAAAUGAAAAAUCCACUAGAGGGAUUCAAAGGCAGAUUUGAGCAGACUAAAGAAAGAAUCCGUGAACUUCAAGAUAUGACAAUGGAAAUUCUCCAAGCCUGAAGAACAGAAAGAGAAAAGAUAGAAGGAAAGAGAACAGACCCUAGGAGACCUCUGGGACACCAUCCAGCAGACCAACCUGUGCAUCGUGGGUGUCCCAGAAGUAGCAAAGAGAAAGAGGCGGAGAGAAUAUUUGAAAAAAAUAAUGCUUGUAAACUUCCUACAUUUGAUGGAGGGCAUGAACACAAACAACCACAAAGCUCACUGAGCUCCAAGUAAGAAGAACUUAAAAGAGACUCACAGCAAGAAACAUAAUCAGACUUUGACAAGAUAAAGAGCACAUCAUGAAAGCAGCAUUAGACAAGCACAUCAUCACAUACAAGGGAUCCUCAAUAAGAUGAUAUGCAGGUUUCUUAUCAGAAAUUUUGGGAGGCCUGGGGCACCUGGUUGGUUCACCUGGUGGAGUAUACAACUCUUCAUUUCAGAGUUGUGGGUUUGAGCCCCAUGUUGGGUAUAGAGAUUACUUAAAACCUUAAAGAAAAAAAAAAGCGGAUGGCUUACACUCUCCAAUCAAGUGACAGAGUGGAAUUCACCAUCCAUUUAUGGUUAAAACUUUAAACAAAGUGGGGAUGAGGGGCACCUGGGUGGCCAUUGGUUAAGCAUCUGACUUCGGCUCAGGUCAUGAUCUCACAGCUCAUGAGUUCCAGCCCCACAUCGGGCUCUGUGCUGACAGCUCAGAGCCUGGAGCCUGCUUUGGAUUCUGUGCCUCCCUCUUUGAACAAAGUGGGCAUGAGAGAACAUACGUCAACAUAAUAAAGGCUACAUACAACAAGCCCACGGCUAAUAUCAUACUCAGUGGUGAAAGUCGGAAAGCUUUUACUCUUAAGAUCAGAAAACACUCGGGGUGCUUGGGUGGCUCCGUUGGUUAAGCAUCUGACUUUGGGUCAGGUCGUGAUUUCACGGUUCAUGAGUUUGAGCCCCACAUCACUCUCUCUGCUGUCAGCUCAGAGCCCACUUCAGGUCCACUGUCUCCCUCCCUCUCUCUGUGCCCCCCACCUCAAAAAUAAACAAACAUUAAACAAAAACAGAUCAGAAAACACUCUUACCACUUUUAUUCAACAUAGUACUGGAAGUACUAGCCAGAGCAGUUAGGCAAGAAAAAAAGAUAAAAUACAUACAAAUUGGGAAGGAAGAAGUAGUACUGUCUCCAUCUGUAGAUGACAUGACGUUGUAUACAGAAAACCUGAAAAAAGUGUUAGAACUGAUCGAUGAAGUUUAAGUUGCAGAAUUCAGAAUCAAAAUAUGCAAUUCAGUUGAAUUUCCAUACUCUAAUAAUGACCUAUCAGAGAAAUUAAGAAAACGAUCCUCCCAUUUUCAACAGUGGCAUAAAAAAUGAAAUACCUAAGAGUAAAUUUAACCAAGGAAGUAAAAAGCACGUACACUGAAACCCUUAAUGAUUCAGUAAUGAAAAAAUUGUAGAAGGCACAAAUAAAUGGACGAUAUCAUAUGCUCAUGGAAUGGAAGAAUUAAUGUUAAAAUGUCCACACUGCCAAAAGCAGUCUACAAACUCAGUGCAAUAAAAAUCAAAACUUCAAUGGCAAAUUUCGGGGAAAUAGAACAAAGAAUCCCAAUACCCCAAAUAGUGAAACGAAUCGAGAAAGAAGAAUAAGGCUGGAGGCUUCCCACUUCAUGAUUCCCAACUGUUACAAUGCUAUAAUAAUCAAAAGAUAUGGUAUUGGCAUAAAACAGAUAGAAAUGGAUGUAGUACAACAGAGCGCUCAGAGAUAAAGCUGCAUUCAUGUGACCAAUUUAAGGCCAAGGUAGGGAGCGGGCGGUCUGUUCAGUAAGUUGUGUUGGGAAAACUGGACAGCCACAUAUGAAAGAAUGAAACUGGAUGCCUGUCUUACACCAUACACAAAAGUCCAGUCGGGAUGUCUUGAGAACUUAAAGGUAAUACCUGAAACUAUAAAAUUCCCAGAAGUAAUCGGGAUGAGCUCCUCGACAUCAGUCUCAGGGAGGACUUUUUGGGUUUGACACCAGAAGCAAAGGGCAACAAAAGCAGAAAUGAGCAAGUGGGACCACAACGAACUCUAUACGAAGGAAACCAUCAACAAAAUAAAGCACCCCACAGAGUGGGGGAAAGUAGCGCAAUUCAUAUAUUUGGUAGGUGGUUAAUAUCUAAAAUACAUACAAAGAACUCUUACACCUCGGUAGCAACGAAGCAGUCCAGUUGAAAAAGGGCAAAUGGUCUGAAUGGACAUCUUUCCAAAGAAGACAUGCAGAUGUCCAACAGGUGCAUGAAAAAGGGGCUCAACAUCCUUAAUCGUCAGGGAAACGCAAGUCAGAACCACAAGGAGAUAGCACCUCGUGCCUGUUAGAACAGCCAUCGUGAAAAAGACAAGAAAUAGCAAGUGUUGGUGAGGAGGAGGAGUAAAGUGACCCUCGUGCACUGUAGGUGGGAAUGUGAGUUGGCCCAGCCACUGUGGAAAACAGUAUGGUGGGCGCCUGAGUGGCUCAGGGUAAGUGUCCAGCUCUUGAUCUCAGCUCAGGUCAUGGUCUCACAUUUUGUGGGCUCAGGCCCCACCUCAUCGGGCCCUGUGUUGGCAGCAUGGAGCCUUGCCUGGGACUCUCUCUCUUUCCCUCGCUCUCUGCCCCUCCCUCUCUCUCAAAAUAAAUAAAACCUUAAAAAAAAAAAAAACAGUAUAAACUUUUCUCAAAAAAUUAAAAAUCGGGCUGCCUGGCUGGUUCAGUUGGUACACAGCAUGUGACUCUUGAUCUCGGGGCCAUGAAUUCUAGCCCCACGUUGGACAUGGAGCCUGCUUAAGAAAAAAUAAAUUAAAAAUAGAACUACCAUAUGAUCCCACAUUCCACUUCUGGGUAUUUAUCCGAAGGAAACAAAAACACAGACUCAAAAAGAUACUUGCACCCCCAUGUUCAUAGGAGCCUUGUUUACAUAGUAGAGACAUUGAAAUAACCCCAGUAUUCACUGAUGGAUUAAUGGAAGCUUGCUAACAGAAUAGAGCUUGAGCACAAGAAAACACUUUGUAAUUGAGUGUGGGGAUGGAUGUUAAAUAGAAUUACUGUGGUGAUCAGUUUGCAAUAUGUACCUUUAUUGAAUCAUGUUGUACACCUGAAACUAAUAUGUGUGUCAGUUUUUUCUCAGUUUAAAAACGAUCAGAAUAGGUAACACAUGAUCCAACUACAUGCUGUCUACAGGAGACUCAACUUUAGAUCCAAAAACAAACAGGCUGGACGUGAAAAGAUCAAAAAACGUAUUUCAUACAAAUAGUAACCCAAACAGCGCAACAGCAGCUACACAAAAUGGACUUGAAACCAAAAAUGGUUACAAGAGACAGAGAAACACAUUGUGUACUAAUGAAAGAUUUUGUACAACAAGAAGAUAAAACCGUUACAAAGAUUUACACACCUGGGACGCCGGAGUGGCUUAAUUGGUUACGGGUCUUACUUGGUUUCAGCUCAGGUCAUGAGCUCAGGGGCGUAAGAGCGAGCCCCUCCCUCUCCCGCCAACUCUGCAGUGGGCGUGCAGACUGCUUAAGAUUCUGUGUCUCCCUCUCUUCCUCUGCGUGGGUGUCUCCCCCCACCCUCUCUGUUAGAAAGAUGGAAGGAAAGAAGAAAGAAAGUACAGUAAAACCUUGGAUUGCAAAUCUGCGAGUGGUCCACAGGAUGAGCAGAUUUUUUUUUAAUGUUUAUUUUUGAGAGCAUGAGGGGGACAGAGGAUCUGAGGCGGGCUCUGUGCUGAGAGCAGAGAGCCCGACAGUGGGCUUGAACCCACAAACUGAGAUCGUGACCUGAGCCGAAGUUGGACACUUAACCAACCAAGCCACCCAGUCACCCUGAUGAGCAAACGUUUCUAAUGCAUUUUAUCUUGAUAAACAAGCAACGUCUUACAAUAUGAGUAGUACAUGAUGCCCAAUGUCACAUGAUCACAACUGAGCCAAUGGUUCUGGAAAUUCGCUUGAUACAUGAGUGCUUUGGAUUACAAGCAUGUUUCCAGAACAAAUUAUGCUUGCAAGCCAAGGUUUUACUGUACUUGGAGAUGAAUUAAAAUAACACGGCACACCUAAACUUUCAGGACACAGCAGAGGCAAUGCUGAGUGGAAAGUUUGUAGGCAUAAAUGUUCACAUUACAAAUAAAAAAGAUCUCACGUCAACAACCCAACUUUACCACUUAAGGAACGAGAAAAAGAACAAACUAAACCCAAAGCUAGCAGAAGGAAGGAAAUCAUGAACAUCAGAGUAGAGAGAAAUAGAGUAUAGGAAAAACAGAAAGGAAAAUCAGUAAAACCAAAAAUUGGUUCUUCAAAAAGAUAAAGUCAACAAGCGUUUGCUGGAUGGACUCAGAAUAAAAGAGGACUCACGAAAUUCAGAAAUGGAAGUGGGGUCACCACCAAUUCUACAGAGAUACUAAGGAUUGUAAGAGAACGCUAUGAACAGUUGUAUGCCAAAAAAUUGGAUUACCUCAUUGAAAUGGACAGGUUUCUUGAAACACAAAACCUACCAAGACUAAAAUCAUGAAGAGACAAAAAAAUCUGAACAAACCUGUAACUGGUAAUCCGUAAUGUUAUGCGUAAUCAAAUCCGUAAUCAAAAAUCUCUCAACAAAGAAAAGCCCUAGAACUGAUGGUUUCACUGAUGAAUUCUUCCAGACUAAUGCCAAUCCUCAAACUUUUCCAAAAAAUUGUAGAGAAGGAAACACUUCCUAACUCACUCUGUGAGGCCAGCAUAGUCCUGAUACCAAAGCCAGACAAAGACCCCAAAAGAAAACUACAGACCAAGCCAGUAUGCUUUGUGAACAUUGAUGCACGAGUCCUCAACAAAAUGCUGGCAAGCAGGAUUUAGCAGCAUAUUAAAAGGAUUGUAUGCCCUGACCAAGUGGGAUCUAUUCUUGGAAUGCAAGAAUGGUUCAACAUAAGAGAAUCAUAAGAGUUCAACGUAAGAGAAAGUGUGAUAGGCCACAUCAAUAAAAUGAAAGGAGAAAAAAAAAAUCCUUUCAAUUGAUGCAAAAAAAGCAUUUGACAGAAUUCAACACCCCGUAAUAAUAAAAGCACUAAAAGGGCGCCUGGACGGCUCAGUCAGUUAAGCCUCCGUCUCUUGAUUUCAGCUCAGGUCAUGAUCUCACGGUUUGUGGCUUCAAACCCCACGUCAGGCUCUUCACUGACAGCGUGGAGCCUGCAUGGGAUUCUCUCGCUACCUUGCUCUGUGCCUUUCCCCUGCUUGCACUCUCUCUCAAAAUAAACAUUUU